AUUGAACGCUGGCGGCAUGCCUUACACAUGCAAGUCGAACGGUAACGGGCCUUCGGGUGCCGACGAGUGGCGAACGGGUGAGUAAUGCAUCGGAACGUACCUUUCAGUGGGGGAUAACGUAGCGAAAGUUACGCUAAUACCGCAUAUUCUGUGAGCAGGAAAGCAGGGGAUCGCAAGACCUUGCGCUGAUUGAGCGGCCGAUAUCAGAUUAGCUAGUUGGUGAGGUAAAGGCUCACCAAGGCGACGAUCUGUAGCGGGUCUGAGAGGAUGAUCCGCCACACUGGAACUGAGACACGGUCCAGACUCCUACGGGAGGCAGCAGUGGGGAAUUUUAGACAAUGGGGGCAACCCUGAUCCAGCCAUGCCGCGUGAGU
rnacentral:rRNA from 1 species